AUUGAUUCACAACUUAAAGUAGUUUUUUGGAAUGUCCGUGGACUGAAUAGCCGGGCUAAACGCACCGCCGUGCGCAGCGCGCUCUCCGCUGAAUCUCCAUGUAUCGUGUGUCUCCUUGAAACUAAGAUGAGUUCGAUCUUGUUGCCGACUGUGGUUGAGACCCUAGGUCCUCAAUUCCAGGAUUUUUUCUUCCUGCCGGUAGACGGGACUAGGGGCGGGAUCCUU
rnacentral:rRNA from 1 species